GAUCAUGGCUCAGGAUGAACGCUGGCGGCGUGCCUAAUACAUGCAAGUCGAACGCUUCACUUCGGUGAAGAGUGGCGAACGGGUGAGUAAUACAUAAGUAACCUGGCAUCUACAGGGGGAUAACUGAUGGAAACGUCAGCUAAGACCGCAUAGGUGUAGAGAUCGCAUGAACUCUAUAUGAAAAGUGCUACGGGACUGGUAGAUGAUGGACUUAUGCGC
rnacentral:rRNA from 1 species